GGGCCCGCACAAGCGGAGGAACAUGUGGUUUAAUUCGAUGAUACGCGAGGAACCUUACCUGGGUUUAAAUGGGGAGUGACAGGCUUGGAAACAGGCUUUUCUUCGGACACUCUUCAAGGUGCUGCAUGGUUGUCGUCAGCUCGUGCCGUGAGGUGUCGGGUUAAGUCCCAUAACGAGCGCAACCCACGUCGUUAGUUGCCAUCAGGUCAUGCUGGGCACUCUAGCGAGACUGCCGGUGUAAACCGCGAGGAAGGUGUGGAUGACGUCAAAUCAGCACGGCCCUUACAUCCAGGGCUACACACGUGUUACAAUGGCCGGUACAGAGGGCUGCUACCAUGCGAAUGGAUGCUAAUCCUUAAAACCGGUCCCAGUUCGGAUUGGAGUCUGCAACCCGACUCCAUGAAGCUGGAUUCGCUAGUAAUCGCGCAUCAGCCAUGGCGCGGUGAAUACGUUCCCGGGCCUU
rnacentral:rRNA from 1 species